UACGUAGGAUCCAAGCGUUGUCCGGAUUUACUGGGUGUAAAGGGUGCGCAGGCGGGCUGGCAAGUCAAGGAGUGAAAUCUCGGCGCUCAACGCCGAAACGUCUUUUGAUACUGCCAGUCUUGAAUAAGCGAGAGAUCCGUGGAAUUCCGAGUGUAGCAGUGAAAUGUGUAGAUAUUCGGAAGAACACCAGCGGCGAAGGCAGCGGGUUGGCGCUUUAUUGACGCUCAGGCACGGAAAGCAUGGGGAUCAAACAGG
rnacentral:rRNA from 1 species